GACUCGUCACACUAUCAUUAACUGAAUCCAUAGGUUAAUGAGGCGAACCGGGGGAACUGAAACAUCUAAGUACCCCGAGGAAAAGAAAUCAACCGAGAUUCCCCCAGUAGCGGCGAGCGAACGGGGAGGAGCCCAGAGCCUGAAUCAGCAUGUGUGUUAGUGGAAGCGUCUGGAAAGGCGCGCGAUACAGGGUGACAGCCCCGUACACAAAAGCGCAUGUGCUGUGAGCUCGAUGAGUAGGGCGGGACACGUGGUAUCCUGUCUGAAUAUGGGGGGACCAUCCUCCAAGGCUAAAUACUCCUGACUGACCGAUAGUGAACCAGUACCGUGAGGGAAAGGCGAAAAGAACCCCGGCGAGGGGAGUGAAAAAGAACCUGAAACCGUGUACGUACAAGCAGUGGGAGCCCCACCACUAAGCCAGUGGUGAACUCCACAUACGCAUCCUUUGCUGAGGAUACGGUUAACGGAGCGAAAGCGACGUUCAACCGCAAAAGAAGCAGAGGGGGCUUAGUGGUGGGGUGACUGCGUACCUUUUGUAUAAUGGGUCAGCGACUUAUAUUCUGUAGCAAGGUUAACCGAAUAGGGGAGCCGGAGGGAAACCGAGUCUUAAUUGGGCGUUAAGUUGCAGGGUAUAGACCCGAAACCCGGUGAUCUAGCCAUGGGCAGGUUGAAGGUUGGGUAACACUAACUGGAGGACCGAACCGACUAAUGUUGAAAAAUUAGCGGAUGACCUGUGGCUGGGGGUGAAAGGCCAAUCAAACCGGGAGAUAGCUGGUUCUCCCCGAAAGCUAUUUAGGUAGCGCCUCGUGAAUUCAUCUCCGGGGGUAGAGCACUGUUUCGGCUAGGGGGCCAUCCCGGCUUACCAACCCGAUGCAAACUGCGAAUACCGGAGAAUGUUAUCACGGGAGACACACGGCGGGUGCUAACGUCCGUCGUGAAGAGGGAAACAACCCAGACCGCCAGCUAAGGUCCCAAAGUCAUGGUUAAGUGGGAAACGAUGUGGGAAGGCCCAGACAGCCAGGAUGUUGGCUUAGAAGCAGCCAUCAUUUAAAGAAAGCGUAAUAGCUCACUGGUCGAGUCGGCCUGCGCGGAAGAUGUAACGGGGCUAAACCAUGCACCGAAGCUGCGGCAGCGAACGUAUCACCCAAGACAACUUUACGGAGUUGACGAUUGACGGAGCGAAGCGACGUCAAAGCGUUCAUUAAAGUCGAGUUGGCUUAGGGAUACGUUCGUUGGGUAGGGGAGCGUUCUGUAAGCCUGUGAAGGUGUGUCGUGAGGCAUGCUGGAGGUAUCAGAAGUGCGAAUGCUGACAUAAGUAACGAUAAAGCGGGUGAAAAGCCCGCUCGCCGGAAGACCAAGGGUUCCUGUCCAACGUUAAUCGGGGCAGGGUGAGUCGACCCCUAAGGCGAGGCCGAAAGGCGUAGUCGAUGGGAAACGGGUUAAUAUUCCCGUACUUGGUGUUACUGCGAAGGGGGGACGGAGAAGGCUAUGUUGGCCGGGCGACGGUUGUCCCGGUUUAAGCGUGUAGGUGUGUGUUCCAGGUAAAUCCGGUUCACUUUAACACUGAGGCGUGAUGACGAGGCACUACGGUGCUGAAGCAACAAAUGCCCUGCUUCCAGGAAAAGCCUCUAAGCAUCAGGUAACAUCAAAUCGUACCCCAAACCGACACAGGUGGUCAGGUAGAGAAUACCAAGGCGCUUGAGAGAACUCGGGUGAAGGAACUAGGCAAAAUGGUGCCGUAACUUCGGGAGAAGGCACGCUGACAC
rnacentral:rRNA from 1 species